CCCUUAGAUGUCCGGGGCUGCACGCGCGCUACACUGAAGGAAUCAGCGUGCUAAAACCAUUGUCGAAAGGCAUUGGUAAACCCAUUAAAAUCCUACGUGAUUGGGAUCGGGAAUUGCAAUUAUUUCCCUUGAACGAGGAAUUCCCAGUAAGUGUGGGUCAUAAGCUCGCGUUGAUUACGUCCCUGCCCUUUGUACACACCGCCCGUCGCUGCCCGGGACUGAGCCGUUUCGAGAAAAGCGGGGACUGCUGCUGUCGGGGCUUUCGGGCCUUGGCUUCGGUGGAAACCGCUUUAAUCGGAGUGGCUUGAACCGGGCAAAAGUCGUAACA
rnacentral:rRNA from 1 species